GAGAAUGCCGGUGUGAGUAGCGAAAGACGGGUGAGAAUCCCGUCCACCGAUUGACUAAGGUUUCCAGAGGAAGGCUCGUCCGCUCUGGGUUAGUCGGGUCCUAAGCUGAGGCCGACAGGCGUAGGCGAUGGAUAACAGGUUGAUAUUCCUGUACCACCUAUAAUCGUUUUAAUCGAUGGGGGGACGCAGUAGGAUAGGCGAAGCGUGCGAUUGGAUUGCACGUCUAAGCAGUAAGGCUGAGUAUUAGGCAAAUCCGGUACUCGUUAAGGCUGAGCUGUGAUGGGGAGAAGACAUUGUGUCUUCGAGUCGUUGAUUUCACACUGCCGAGAAAAGCCUCUAGAUAGAAAAUAGGUGCCCGUACCGCAAACCGACACAGGUAGUCAAGAUGAGAAUUCUAAGGUGAGCGAGCGAACUCUCGUUAAGGAACUCGGCAAAAUGACCCCGUAACUUCGGGAGAAGGGGUGCUCUUUAGGGUUAACGCCCAGAAGAGCCGCAGUGAAUAGGCCCAAGCGACUGUUUAUCAAAAACACAGGUCUCUGCUAAACCGUAAGGUGAUGUAUAGGGGCUGACGCCUGCCCGGUGCUGGAAGGUUAAGAGGAGUGGUUAGCUUCUGCGAAGCUACGAAUCGAAGCCCCAGUAAACGGCGGCCGUAACUAUAACGGUCCUAAGGUAGCGAAAUUCCUUGUCGGGUAAGUUCCGACCCGCACGAAAGGCGUAACGAUUUGGGCACUGUCUCAACGAGAGACUCGGUGAAAUCAUAGUACCUGUGAAGAUGCAGGUUACCCGCGACAGGACGGAAAGACCCCGUGGAGCUUUACUGUAGCCUGAUAUUGAAAUUCGGCACAGCUUGUACAGGAUAGGUAGGAGCCUUUGAAACGUGAGCGCUAGCUUACGUGGAGGCGCUGGUGGGAUACUACCCUAGCUGUGUUGGCUUUCUAACCCGCACCACUUAUCGUGGUGGGAGACAGUGUCAGGCGGGCAGUUUGACUGGGGCGGUCGCCUCCUAAAAGGUAACGGAGGCGCUCAAAGGUUCCCUCAGAAUGGUUGGAAAUCAUUCAUAGAGUGUAAAGGCAUAAGGGAGCUUGACUGCGAGACCUACAAGUCGAGCAGGGUCGAAAGACGGACUUAGUGAUCCGGUGGUUCCGCAUGGAAGGGCCAUCGCUCAACGGAUAAAAGCUACCCCGGGGAUAACAGGCUUAUCUCCCCCAAGAGUUCACAUCGACGGGGAGGUUUGGCACCUCGAUGUCGGCUCAUCGCAUCCUGGGGCUGUAGUCGGUCCCAAGGGUUGGGCUGUUCGCCCAUUAAAGCGGUACGCGAGCUGGGUUCAGAACGUCGUGAGACAGUUCGGUCCCUAUCCGUCGUGGGCGUAGGAAAUUUGAGAGGAGCUGUCCUUAGUACGAGAGGACCGGGAUGGACAUACCUCUGGUGUACCAGUUGUCGUGCCAACGGCAUAGCUGGGUAGCUAUGUGUGGACGGGAUAAGUGCUGAAAGCAUCUAAGCAUGAAGCC
rnacentral:rRNA from 1 species